CGCUCCUUUGAUCAGACGCAGGAUGCGGCCAAUCCUGGCAAGACGGAUCACUCGAAACAGGAGAACACGUUGUUAAACAUUUAUCUGGUCAUUAUUGGGACAAGCAGAAGAAGAGAAAAUUUUGAAGGAGAGGGAGCCUAAGUGGUAAAGGGGAAUAUUUGAUUGGAAAACAUACUUGCAUGAAGGCAGAAGCAAUGCUUGUCAACAGCAACCUAGUUUUUCAUUCAUAAAUAUGACUUGUUUAUCAAGGAUACAUUGGUACUCAAGGACUACAAACAUAAAACUGAAGGACUGAGAAGAAAAGACCACACUCAAUUACAGAAGAAAGAAAAAAAAUCCAGC